GAUUAAAUCGAGAGCGUCUUCAUUGACCUCUCACCCUUCACAUCCACAUACACCUGUGCACCGUUUGGCUCUUUUAAAAGACGUAAGUCUGCAAAGAGAGUCAUCAAUUUUAUACAUACCCCAGUCUUAUGAAUGUAACAGUUUUAAUAAACAAAAUAAAACUUUUAACAACGGAUCUCUUGGUUCU
rnacentral:misc_RNA from 1 species